AUGAAUAGCCCACGCAUAACCACCACUAGCCUUCCCUUUCCCUUCUCCCUUUAUUUUUUUUUCUCGCCCAGAGCUUCAUCGGAGAUUUUUCUCCGACGACCAUGGCUGCCCCAUUUUUUACUACGUUUGCCAUCACUGCUAUUGUAACAUUAAACCAUUGCUAGGUUUAUUAUUGUCUUUAAUAAUUUUGUGUUGCCUUAACUGUUUCGAAAAAUCAUUGGCGUUGUCUUUGCAUUUGUCGGCCGUAUUCUGCGAGUUCAUUGUUUUUUAGUUAUUGCUGCUGUUGUAAUCUAGCUAUAGCUAAUUUUCUAUUGGUUUUGUACUAUAUUCAUCCCUGUUACGUUGCAUUCGGACUGAUUUUACAUUUCUUUUACUAAAUAAAUGUUGGCUUUGUGCCCGAAAAAAAAUACUUUUGGCGGUCAAUGGUACUGUUAACUUUUUUAUCGCAUUCACUUAAAUUCAUUUGGGCGAAUACUAAACCCAAAUGGCCGAUGAAGAAAUUUUCGUCGAUUUCCAAGGCAUCCCAUGUACCCGGAGAUACAUCCCGAAGACGACACUCGGAAGGAACCCGAAGACUUCAUCGAAUCACUCUUUGUAUUUACUUUUCGUAGUUUUUUAUAACUGUACAAAACAUAAACUUAUAGUAGAGUGGAAAAUUUAUUUUUGGAAUGACGGGUUGAUAUAUUUAUUUA